CCGGGACUCUCGGGUAGAAUUUCUUUCUUUGAGAAAGCUGAGGCGAUCAAAACCCUGAUUAACCUCUGAUAUUCACGUGGUGCUCUUGAUCUUGAGGACCGAAGCAGUAACAAAGAGUUAAUGGCAGCCAUAUGCUCAGGGUAUUGUGGGUACUGUUGACCCAAAUGUGAACUCCGCCAGCUAGUGCUGCUAACUGCUGUUUGUUUCAGGUUUGGCGUGGAGAUUACUGAUGAAGAGUUUGAGCUGCUACUUGACAGAAUCCCCCUUGAUGAAGAUGGAAAUGUCAGAUACCCCCAGUUCAUGGCCAGGUUUGAUUCCUGAGGGCCGUGUGGAAUCGUCCUAAUCCGGGAAGAGCCACUGCCUCCCUGUGUGAUCUGACACAGUGACAUAUCACUUGACCUCGGUCGCGGCAGCUGUACAGCGAGGUGGAAAAGGCGGCUGACGGACAAGCAGGGGAUGCCUUUCAGCACAGCUUCCUCGGG
rnacentral:lncRNA from 1 species